rnacentral:rRNA from 1 species
UCCAGACUCCUACGGGAGGCAGCAGUGAGGAAUAUUGGUCAAUGGCCGGAAGGCUGAACCAGCCAAGCCGCGUGAAGGACGAAGGUGCCAAGCAUUGUAAACUUCUUUUGUCAAGGGACAAAAUCAGGCUCGAGAGCCUGACCGAGGGUACUUGAAGAAAAAGCAUCGGCUAACUCCGUGCCAGCAGCCGCGGUAAUACGGAGGAUGCGAGCGUUAUCCGGAUUUAUUGGGUUUAAAGGGUGCGCAGGCGGGCUGUUAAGCCGGCGGUAAAAAUUCAGGGCUCAACCCUGUCGAGCCGUCGGAACUGGCAGUCUUGAGUGGGCGAGAAGUAUGCGGAAUGCGUGGUGUAGCGGUGAAAUGCAUAGAUAUCACGCAGAACUCCGAUUGCGAAGGCAGCAUACCGGCGCUCAACUGACGCUCAUGCACGAAAGCGUGGGUAUCGAACAGGAUUAGAUACCCCAGUA